GGUUUAAAAUGUGUGUGUUAAUUGUUGAUAGUACAAAAACUGUUUAUGACUUCGUACGAAAACAUUUGGAACUAAAGAUAGCAGCUAAGAUGAGACUUAAAUUGUUCUUUAUUCUGUUGUUGAUUAUUCUAGCAAUGGUUUUAUUAAUGACGAAAGUCAGUGCCAAACGAUGGGCUGAUGGAGUAGAUGGAGUGUGUGCCUAAUCACUUUUUAUAGUGUUAAAUUAUACCAAUAAAGAUGAUGCAGCAAGCUUAGCGAUAGUUGAUUUAAACAAGUAAAUUCAUUAUUUUUGAGAUACCAGCUGAUCUCAAAGCGUAGAGCUCUGAGAUACACUACUCACAAUGCAGGCAGCCGAAACUGAGCCCAAGCGUACUAAGAGUUAAAUUUAUGAGGUAUACCGACUUUUAGAGGAAAAGCCAGGGGUUGAAGAAAUAUUAAUCAUGAAUCGUUCCGGUGUGCCGAUCAAAACGUCAAUGGAACGCCAAGACGCACUUCAACAUGCCUGUCUUUAUGAGAAUUUGCGUGAAAAGUGUCAGGCAUUUCUAUCAAAAAUGGAGCCACCACAGCUCCUGACCAUGUUGCGAGUCCGUACCAGAUUCCACGAGGUCCUGCUAACACCUGAUGGCAAGUGCAAAAUCCAAAGGAUACACAUCUUAAGGUUGAGGAUCUAAAUCGUCAUUCCUCCAAUUUUUAAAUAAUUGCUCCUACAUAUAUCUACGUUGUUAGUCAUCCAACUUCUUACACGUAAAACAUUCUUCUCACUUUGUACACAGCCCAAACACAACAAACUGUUCAUUUAUGUGACUACCUGAAUAUAAAUUCAAUCAAAUAAGUAAUAAAUAGUCCUCAGAGCUUCAGCUUAAAAA